rnacentral:rRNA from 1 species
UACUAGAGUAGCACUCGCAUAUCAAUAAGCGGAGGAAAAGAAACUAACAAGGAUUCCCCUAGUAACGGCGAGUGAAGCGGGAAGAGCUCAAAUUUGAAAUCUUAAAGGGUUUCCCUUUACGAAUUGUAGUUUAAAGAAGUGUUUUCUGUUGAGGUUUUGGUAAAAGUUCUUUGGAAUAGGACAUCAUAGAGGGUGAGAAUCCCGUAUUUGACCUUUACUUUCAACUUUGUGAUACACUUUCAAAGAGUCGGAUUGUUUGGGAAUGCAGUCCAAAAUGGGUGGUAAAUUUCAUCUAAAGCUAAAUAUUGGCGAGAGACCGAUAGCGAACAAGUACCGUGAGGGAAAGAUGAAAAGAACUUUGAAAAGAGAGUUAAACAGUACGUGAAAUUGUCAAAAGGGAAGCGUUUGACACCAGUGUUGUUUUUUCUGAAAAUCAAUUAAAGAACUGUUUAUGCUAAGCUGUUUAGACUUUAUCAGCUAACUGUUUAGUUUUGAGCUUUUCUUUAAUGCACUUUUCAGUUAACAAGUCAACAUCAAUUUCUUUUGCUGUAAAAAAAGCUUGAGGAAGGUGGCUUGAGAUUCGUCUUAAGUGUUUAUAGCCUCUUGCCUAUGCAGUCGGAGAGAUUGAGGUCUGCAGCGUAGAUCCUUCGGGGCUAAAUGCAUUUGUGCUAAGUUAUAGCAUUUUAUAGACAACUUGUUGACUAUGAUUUGUCUUGUAGCUUACUCGCUUAUGUUAUUUUACCUACGCUUAGGAUGUUGAGUCAUCACACAUCUCU